UGUGUAGGUGGCCACGCAAGUUGGAUGUGAAAGCCCUUGGCUCAACCAAGGAAUUGCAUUCAAAACUGCGCGGCUUGAGUGCGGGAGAGGGAAGCAGAACUCCUAGUGUAGAGGUGGAAUUCGUAGAUAUUAGGAGGAAUACCCGUGGCGAAGGCGGCUUCCUGGACCGACACUGACACUGAGACACGAAAGCGUGGGGAGCAAAAAGGAUUAGAUACCCUGGUAGUCC
rnacentral:rRNA from 1 species